rnacentral:rRNA from 1 species
CCUACGGGGGGCUGCAGUGAGGAAUCUUCCACAAUGGGCGAAAGCCUGAUGGAGCAACGCCGCGUGCAGGAUGAAGGCCUUCGGGUCGUAAACUGCUUUUAUAAGUGAAGAAUAUGACGGUAACUUAUGAAUAAGCACCGGCUAACUACGUGCCAGCAGCCGCGGUCAUACGUAGGGUGCAAGCAUUAUCCGGAGUGACUGGGCGUAAAGAGUUGCGUAGGUGGUUUUAUAAGCGAAUAGUGAAAUCUGGUGGCUCAACCAUACAGACUAUUAUUCGAACUGUAAAACUCGAGAGUAGCAGAGGUAACUGGAAUUUCUAGUGUAGGAGUGAAAUCCGUAGAUAUUAGAAGGAACACCAAUGGCGUAGGCAGGUUACUGGGCUAUUUCUGACACUAAGGCACGAAAGCGUGGGGAGCGAACCGGAUUAGAUACCCCAGUAGUC